rnacentral:lncRNA from 1 species
AGGUUAUCAAAGAUUUGUUGAUCCUAUUAGCAACAUUUAUCCAGACAGAGGGCGAACGUUUUGUGAAGAAUACUUUGAAUUUAUAAUUAAUUACCUAUCAGGAGAUUUAGUUGAUGUAUUAGAACCCUUGCAGCUUUGUGCAUAUUUAUAUAAAUAUAGAUGUAUUGAUCAAGGUGACAAAGAAGCAAUUGAAGCAAUGCAGUGCUCAAAAGGAAGAACUGCUGCGUGUCGAGAAAUGCUUCUGGCUGUGAAACGUAGGAAAGAUAAUUGGGCAUUACUUCUUUUAGAAGCGAUCAAAGAGACACAAGAAUAUGUAAAGUUAAAAAUGGACCCAUCAGCAUCUCAGGGUAAAGAAAUAGUUUUCACAAAUACUUCAUAUAUGUCAAGCUAUUUCGUUUUGAUAACUUGUAAUAUGAGCCCCGUUAGAAAACUAUGUUUUGUAAAGAACAUGUAUUAUAACUCCUAUGGACAUAUUUUGGAAGGAUAGGAAGGAUUGAGUAAUAAAUAAAAGAUAUAUGAAUGCUGUGGCUAAAUUUAUGGUAGAUAAAAAACGAAACUAUUGUUUUUUUCUAUGAUAACUUCCGGUGUACACAUUUACUAGUAUAGUUCAUUCUGUUAAUCGUAUUUCUAUGUACUAGUAAUCUUUAAUAAAUCGAAUAGUUACAACGCUCAAUGUUGAUUGUUGAAUGCUUACUUUCAUAAUAGACUGGGGCUUUUUUCUUCGAUUUUUUAUGUUUCUAAUUUUGGUGCAGAGUAUAAACAUAAGCUGUAAUAUGUAAUAAGACUUAGUAGUGAAUGUUGAUUCAGAGAUUUGUUUGAGUACACUAUUUGAAUGUUUUGCGAACGCAAUACUUAUUUGGCUGACCUUUGGUGAAUAUAUAUAUCGCAUACAACCAUGAAUAUGAAGUAAGUUUCUUUGCAGUGCUGAGUUGAAACCUGUGAGUAUUUAUUUUAUUUGUCAUACACGUACGUCCAGAGUUCAAAACAUCGAAUUCCGAAUGAGGUAAGUAUAGUACAACAACGCGUGCUAUCUUGCUAAAUCAGCAGUCACAAUAUUGCAUCGUAUUCUAACACAUGAUGUUUACAUUACAUCAUUACUAUUAUGUUUAAUUCUUUUUUAGAAAGACAUACGCUGUUAUUUUGAAAACUCAAUCACUUUGUUAAAAGUAGCAUAUGUAACUGUUCCUUCGGUACUAAAAUACUCUAGUCUGUUGUAGAAGAGUUAGAAAGAACUGAUAUAUUGCUCGCUAGCACAAAACAGCGUAAUCACAGUGAUUCGACACUUUCAGAGGGAGGUAUGUCAGAGCUAUUUAUUGCCAUUUAUGGCAUACUAUAGGGUAUGCGUUUUGCUCAUUGUAGAAGGUCGCUUAAUUUCACCUCAUGUUGGGUCUGGUGAAACCUCUCUUAGCGACAUGAAUUUCAUAUUUUCUUUUUAUCACAAUGAACUAGCAGUUUGAAAGAAAUAUAUAUAUAUCACUCAGUCCAUGGGUCAAAUACAUAUCAUUAUAAAAUUAUUGACCGUAAACUUACAGUUUGCACAUUUAUUUAUUUUGUUUCAUGGGCAUUUUAUUUAUAUCUACAUCUUACUUUGAUAAGUAGUUGACAUGCAUUUUUGGGACAGUCCAUUAAUACUUCACGACUAGAUUUUUUUUUCAUUUUGUUGUCAGUAGAAAUGAUAAGAAACAUUACAUCGGCAAUAUAACUGAAAAUGUAAUAAACAUUGAUGAAGGUCUCAAACAAUUUCCUUAAAAUCAGAUGCAUUGUGAGUCUUGCAGAUAAGUAUUUUGUUAAUGGGAUAUUAAAUUCAGCAUUUGACAUUUUUAGCCGAACAAAUUUAUCCAUUUUAUAUAAACUGCUGUUGUUUUUUGUUUGGUCGGGUUGUUGUCUCUUUGACACAUUUCCCAUUUCCAUUCUCAAUUUUAUUGCAUUUGUAAAAAUUGAACGAUAGCAGAAUAUAUUUCAAAUAAAACACAUCAAGAUUGAUAUGUUGAUGAGAUACAAAUGUGUACACAUUUGACACUAUGCAUUGUAGCUUUCACUCUUCAUUUUUUGUUAAAAAACUCUCUAUAAAAAAGAAAGCUAACAAAAAUACCAAGUCAAAUUAAAAACGGGAAGUUCCAAAUUUAAUAACAAAAUCAAAAUUUAAAUUUAAAACACAGCAAACGAAUAGAAUACAACUGUCAUAUUCCUCACUCGGUACAGGCAGUUCCUUAUGUAGAAAAUACUUAAUAUAACCUGGGUUUGUAGCUAGCUAAACUGUUCACUUGUGAGACAGUCGCUUAAAAUCGCAUUAUUCUUACAACAAAGUGUGAACAAAUCAAACAGACAUAAUAGGAAAAAUGUCAAAAAUAGUAGUAUAGCAGUCAGUAUUGUGUUAUAAUCUUAAUCGCUAUACAAACAAACAAAUAUCAAAACAGUUAUGUUACCUUUAGCUUGAUUUGUAUAUAAGUCUACAAUAUAUUUUAACUACUCGAAUAGCAUUUAUAACUUCAUACUGGUUCAAUACUAUAUGUUUAUCUUAUUUCUGUUUAAACAUUAUUACCAGACACUACAAUUAGUAUAUGUUGUACAUAGAUUUUAACCAAAAUCACCUCAAUUUACCUUAACUUAUCAGUCAAAAUAUGUUUCACGUCAUAUAAAUUAUCCAUUAAUAUUUUUGUGUUAUGUUAUCUAAAAUAUUGGUCUAUGUUUACAGAAUUAGUACCAUUCAAGUCAUCUUUUCAUUUUGAUGUUAAACUGCGAAAGAUAUUUCAAUUACAAUCAACUCCAGAUCUGGUAAUAAGUGAUUGUGUUAUUACCAAUGAGCAGUUGGUGUUUACUGGUUAUUUCAGCGAAAGAUUACAUAUCUACAAUAUUUAUGGAAGUUACAAUCGAGAACUUAAAUUGUUUAAUAGACCACAAUGUAUUACUGUAAUAAACGACGACGAUGUGGCAGUCUCAUAUUAU